CUCCAUUCUUCACACUCUGACCCCUAGCCUGGUACAGACCUCGGACAGGUCACCAUUCUUCACACUCUGACCACUAGCCUGGUACAGACCUCGGACAGGUCUCCAUUCUUCACACUCUGACCACUAGCCUGGUACAGACCUGGUACAGGUCUCCAUUCUUCACACUCUGACCCCUAGCCUGGUACAGACCUCUGACAGGUCUCCAUUCUUCACACUCUGACCCCUAGCCUGGUACAGACCUCGGACAGGUCACCAUUCUUCACACUCUGACCCCUAGCCUGGUACAGACCCGGUACAGGUCUCCAUUCUUCAUACUCUGACCCCUAGCCUGGUACAGACCCCGGACAGGUCACCAUUCUUCACACUCUGACCCCUAGCCUGGUACAGACCCGGUACAGGUCUCCAUUCUUCAUACUCUGACCCCUAGCCUGGUACAGACCUCGGACAGGUCACCAUUCUUCACACUCUGACCCCUAGCCUGGUACAGACCUCGGACAGGUCACCAUUCUUCACACUCUGACCCCUAGCCUGGUACAGACCUCGGACAGGUCACCAUUCUUCACACUCUGACCCCUAGCCUGGUACAGACCUCGGACAGGUCACCAUUCUUCACACUCUGACCCCUAGCCUGGUACAGACCUCGGACAGGUCACCAUUCUUCACACUCUGACCCCUAGCCUGGUACAGACCUCGGACAGGUCACCAUUCUUCACACUCUGACCACUAGCCUGGUACAGACCUCAGACAGGUCUCCAUUCUUC